GUGACCAUGGGUCAUAUAGAGAGGCACAGAGGGAUGAUACUUGUAUUGUCUGUUCGAUAAGAUGGACUAAAUAUUGGACAUUGCGGUGUUUUUUUAAUGGUGUGUAGUUUUACUUUUUUGUUUCUCCACAUAAGCGGCACGAUGUGGUUCCACAUGUUCCAGCU